UGCAUAUGUAUGCAAUGAAAAGAGACCACACUCCAUGGGAAUCUUGAAAAAGAUGAGAGCACUUGAAAAAUCAUUGGCAUUACAGAUUUCCUAGCAGCAAUUCCACUGAAGAGUGCAAUGAGAAAGCAAAUGGCAGAUUAUUUCCCUUCACUUUCCAUGCUUCCAAAAGAGUUACAGGCUGCAAAGAGAAUGAGAUGAACCUACAAGAUGCAGUCAGACCGGGUGAGAAAGAUAAAAGCAUAGCUACAGAUGGGAAAAAACCUACCUGGUGGUGUCUAUCAUCCUGUGAGAGUCAGGAACUGUGAGAAGAAUUUACAAACCAGGAAAGUGGAAGGGAAAGCAAAUACUGCCAGCCUGGAGUGUGGAGCAGGCACUGCUCUAGCUGAAUGUGAUCACCUCUGUGCUUCAAAGUAAUCCUGCCAAGCAGCUAUCCAAAAAGAUUGGGAAAAGAUGACAUUAGAGGUGCAUAAUGUGCCAGAGGAUCUCCUAGGCAACUUCCAAAGCCCUUGGUCACUUAGGGCACAAGGAUUUCAAGCACUGAACAGAGAUGAAAAGAACCAAGGAAUUUAAGAUUUUGCCCUGAAGUUAAAGCAUGUGCG